CCUACGGGGUGCAGCAGUGGGGCAUAUUGGGCAAUGGAUGAAACUCUGACCCAGCAACGCCGCGUGAAUGAUGAAGGUCUUCGGAUUGUAAAGUUCUUUUCUAAGGGAAGAAGGACGUGACGGUACCUUAGGCAUAAGCCUCGGCUAACUACGUGCCAGCAGCCGCUGUAAUACGUAGGCGGCGAGCGUUAUCCGGAAUGACUGGGCGUAAAGGGUGAGUAGGUGGUUUGGCAAGUUAGUAGCGUAACUCCAAGGCUCAACCUUGGAACUACUACUAAAACUGUUGGACGUGAGUGCAGGAGGGGCAACCGGAAUUCCGAGGGUAGCGGUGGAAUGCGUAGAUAUUAGGAGGAACACCAGUGGCGAAGGCGGGUUGCUAUACUGUAACGGACACUGAGGCACGAAAGCGUGGGGAGCAAACAGGAGUAGAUACCCUGGUAGUC
rnacentral:rRNA from 1 species